UCAGGGAAUUCUGGUCGUGGAAGUCUCUGACGCGAGAUCAAUUUGCGACCUACACACGUAGAGGUUCAUCCCAAGGCCUCACAGGACGCGGGUUCAAUCCCCGCCGCCUCCACUC
rnacentral:tmRNA from 1 species